GGAACUACGGCUUCGUUCGCACCUCCUCCGCUAGCGCUGUGCACCAAAAGAGCGGCAGCACACGCUCACUCGCUCCCACACACCCGCGCGCACACACACACACACACACACAUGCUGUGCCUUGCUUGCUCCUGCUUUCCGACUUGUUUGGUUGCGGGAUUUAACAAACGCCUGGUGCUGCGGGAGGAUGCCGGGGCUUCCUGUGAUGCUCCCGGGGAAAGCUUUGGACCACCAAGGUCAACGAGGACGAACAAUCGCAGCAGCGGCACUUGAGCAGUGGCAGGAGAACGCGAGUGGCUGGUGGGUGGGGGGAAGGAACCGCUGGCAUGCGUGCUGGUCACCGCUAUGCCGCUCCGGCUUUCAGCUCUCUACAUGCGAUGGCAUCAUUUCCAUAGCAACCCGAGCUAACGAUUCAUUUUCAAUUAAAGCAGACACAAAACACACUGCCCUGAGCCAGUAGGCAGUGUCAAGAGUCCAUCUCCAUCUUCCUCGCCCCCACAUGAAGGGAGUGAUCCAGCCUCUUCAAGGCAAAGACACCAGGCUAUCUUACUGCAAUGUUCACAACACACUUGUUUAGACUCAGACUCAUAUUCUAUCAAAGCAAAAAUCAAUGGGCUGUUAAAAAAAAUGAUAAAGAUUUGAUGCUAGACGGUGGUGUUUAUUGUGAAAUGACGAUGAACGAACAAGUCUUGAACAAAGCUGAGCUUGUGUGCAGUCACUGAGAACGUGAUGUGGUUCAGGCCUGGCAGAAUUGCCACGAGCAGCAAAGCUGUUCUUUCUAGCUACAGAGUUAUGCACUUGAGUUCAUAUCCACCUCCAGUAUCCCUCCCCACUGUGCAGCUGAUGUCCGAGCUGACGCUAUGCAUGCUGCACUUGUAAACACUGCCCUAAUAAACUCACCGGCAUGGUUUCUAUCUGCCUCCCAGCCACAGAGCUGACUUUAUUUGCACAUUCAAAGGAUUUCAAUAGAGAGUGACAUUUUGAAUGAAGCAAUUUCAAAUACAUUCACAUCAUCUGUCUGUCUAAGACCUUUCUUUUUAAAAGAAUUAUUUUAAUCACAAUGUCUGUAUUAUGUUAUUGAUGCAAUUGUUAUAUACAAACCAUUGAAAAUUAAAAACCCACAUCCAAGA